rnacentral:lncRNA from 1 species
UGCAGGAUCUGUUACCAUGGAGACAGGCAGGCGCUCCUACAGGAGUCAGCAUCAGCAUCGGGGAAAUCCAGCAAGUGAAAAUGUAACGGAACGGAGCAUUCAUCCAACAUUAUUACUACGGAUUCUCCACUUCAUUGUUAUUCUCCGUGUUUGGAGAGGAACUGGUCAACUGGGUCAUUUUCUGAGCUUGAUGGGCCAUCAUCACCCCUGCUUAUGUUUGAAUUGCUCACAGCACUUUGACCUUUACAGAGAAAAGCUCCACCUGGAUGCAAAGCAUUGUUAUUGUGUAGUGGAGCCCUUGUACAAUUGUGGGGAGGAUCCAACUAACACCUGUGUUACAGUCUGGCUGCCGUUAGAACUCUAGAGAAUGUUUCUCAGAAUCAUGGUUUCACUGAUGGAGAAUCUGAAUCCAGACAAUGAUGACCAUUUUUGCACCAGAGAUCUUCUGAAUUUUUAUAUCUCAGCCUGGUCUGGUGUUGGUGGCUAGAAAAUAGCAUCCUGGGCUGAUGUAUUGGUCCUUGGUACAAUUCAUGGCUAUCCACAUUAUAUUAGAUUUCAUAGAUACUGUUGGAAAUAUCUAGCACAUGUGCUUUAUCCCACAAUAAUUACAUAGAAAAUUAAAAAG